rfam:Triticum urartu cultivar G1812 contig963382, whole genome shotgun sequence.
CAUAUACUCCCUCCAUCCAGAAAUAUUUGUCCGAGGAAUGGAUGUAUCUAGAUGUAUUUUAGUUCUAGAUACAUCCAUCUGUAUCCAUUUCUACGACAAGUAUUUCCAGACGGAGGGAGUAUUAC